GGUUCUAUAGCUCAGUGGUAGAGCAUACGAUUGCAGCUGUACUGUUAUCGUACGGUCGCGUGUUCGAUCCACGCUGGGACCU
rfam:Postia placenta Mad-698-R POSPLscaffold_41_Cont2585, whole genome shotgun sequence.